rnacentral:lncRNA from 1 species
CGGGAAAAGGAAAUGAAGACCCUGAUUCCCCACUGCUCCUCCAUCCAGUGCCCCACUGACCAGCCUUCUUUCCAACAGAUCUCCUUUACAGAAAAGGGCUCAGGUGAAGAGAUUAUUCAAAGAAAAAGGCAAGACCCCUUCCUCCCAUUCCAGUGAGGAGCACAUGCAAAGGCAGGGAUCAAAGCCAAAUGAGGAGAAGAAUUCUGAAUAAACUAAGCUCAAAGACAGAAACAGCACAGCUAGAUCUGAACCGGAGUCGAGCUCACAUGAGGGAAACUCCAAGAAAAGGAAAAUCAGUUCCAAGGACGGCUGCCAAGACAGAGCAAGGACCUGUCCAGGAGAGGAGCGCAGCUUGAUGUUGAAAAGGAAACUAAAGUCCUCCACCCCUGUGCACAGCAGUGAAAUCCAGGAGACCUGUGAGGCCCACCACAGAAGGCCUUUCAUGGCUCACACUGGGUGCAACAAGCGGCACAGGCCUCAGGCUCCAGGAGUUCAAUAGCCGUCACUUCAGAAAGCUUCGUGACUUUGCAAGGUAGGUCAAAGGCCAUUUAUCAAGACCUACUCCAGGUGUUGGUGCAGCAGGUCCAUUCUCCACUGACCUGGGAGCAGCUCACUCGGCUUGCUUGGCUCUUGGGACCUCUGUGCGCUCAAGUGCAGACAUUCUAUAUUAUGGCCACCCAGGCAGGUUAUGUCUUUCCUGCUAAGAAAUGGCUUGCCUCAGCCACACUCCUGGCCCUGGGGAUCCAGCCAUGGAUAGAGAAGCCCACCCCUUGCCUGGGCAGGAGAUAACUGAGCCUCUCAGUGGAUCAGAUGAGGCUUGAGCUGGCUGCAC